rnacentral:rRNA from 1 species
CCUACGGGAGGCUGCAGUGGGGAAUAUUGCACAAUGGGGGAAACCCUGAUGCAGCGACGCCGCGUGAGUGAAGAAGUAAUUCGUUACGUAAAGCUCUAUCAGCAGGGAAGAAACACUGACCUUACGGUCAGCAGACGGUACCUGCGUAAGAAGCGCCGGCUAACUACGUGCCAGCAGCCGCGGUAAUACGUAGGGGGCAAGCGUUAUACGGAUUUACUGGGUGUAAAGGGAGCGUAGAGGGUGCGGCAAGUCUGGAGUGAAAUGGUGCAGCUUAACUGCGGAACUGCUUUGGAAACUGGCGAACUAGAGUGCGCGAGGGGUAAGCGGAAUGCCUGGUGUAGCGGUGAAAUGCGUAGAUAUUAGGAGGAACACCGGUGGCGAAGGCGGCUUACUGGACCGUAACUGACGCUGAGGCUCGAAAGCGUGGGGAGCAAACAGGAUUAGAUACCCCUGUAGUC